rnacentral:lncRNA from 1 species
GGAAUCAUAGGUUUUCCCUUAAACCCAUGCCGGCUAAGUGUUCCUUGAACACAUUGGGUGGUAAGCCUUUCAUAAGCGGACCCGCAAGCAUAUCCUUUGUCCUUAUAUGCUCGAGACUUAUAGUGUGAUCAUGGAUUUUAUCUAUCACAACAUAAUACUUUAUCUCUAUUGUUUUGGCAGCAUUACUUGGCUUGUUGUUGUGAGCAUAGAAUAUUGUGGGGUGGUUGUCACAGUACAUCUUUAGUGGUUUGUCAAUACAAUCUACCACUUUCAAGUCGGGUAUAAAUUUCUUUAACCAUAUCGCCUUCCCCGUGGCCUCAUAGCAUGCUAUAAAUUCUGCAUAUAUCAUGGAUGAUGCAACUAUUGACUGUUUGGAGCUUCUCCACGAAAUAGCCCCACCAGCGAGAGUGAACACAUAUCCUGACGUGGAUUUUCUAUCAUCUCCGUCUCCCACAAAAUUUGCGUUUGAAUACCCUCUUAUCUCUAGGGAAUCGGAUCUCAUGUAUGUUAGCAUGUGGUCCUUCGUGCCUUGCGCAUAACUCAAUGCUUUCUUUACCAUCUUCCAAUGCUCUUUGCCUAGAUUUUCUUGAUAUCUACAGAGUACCCAAGUGAUAAAAUCGAAGUCAGGGUGAGUGCACACUUGUGCAUACUGCAACCUUCCAACAGCCGAAGCAUAUGGUACUGCUUUCAUUUGAUCGAUCUUGUACUGGUUCUUGGGACAUUGGAAUUUCCCAAACUGUCUCCCUUGACUAUAGGAGCAUGUGUGGCUUUACUCACAUGCAUAUUAUACUUUUUAAGAACCUUUUUUGAAUAUGCCUUCUGUGAUAGUCCUAAAACUCCAUUUUUCCUAUCUCGGUGAAUUUCUAUGCCCAAGACAUAUGAUGCUUCACAAAGAUCUGUUAUAUCAACAUUUGAGGACUAGAACUUAUUCGUUUCUUGUAGCAGAUUAACAUCACUGCUAGCAAGCAAGAUAUCAUCCACAUACAAGAUUAGGAAAAUAAAUUUCCAUUUUUAAACUUUCCAUAAACACAGUUAUCCUCAACAUUCUCUUUAAAUCCAAAAGUUAUAAUUGUUUCAUUAAACUUUAGAUACCACUGUCUAGAGGCUUGCCUUAAUCCAUAAAUGGAUUUCUUCACGCGGCAUCCCAUAUCUUCCUUGCCUUCUAGAAUAAAACCCUUGGGUUGUUUCAUGUACACUUUUUCUUUUAAUUCCCCGUUCAGAAAUGUCGUCUUUACAUCCAUUUGAUGUAACUCUAAAUCAAAAUGUGCAACAAAUGCCAUUAUGAUUCUGAAGGAAUCCUUACAUGAGACUGGGGAAAAUGUCUCAUUGUAAUCUAUCCCUUCUCUUUGUGUAAAUCCUUUUGCCACAAGUCAUGCUUUGUACUUUUCUACAUUCCCUUUAGAAUCAUACUUAGUUUUGUAGACCCAUUUACAGCCUACACUUUUGGCUCCUUUAGGAAUAUUCUCUAAGUCCCAAACAUCUUUGGAACUCAUCUAUUUCAUCUCGUCUUCCAUUGCCUCCAGCCACUUUGAUGAGUGAGGGAUUCUCAUGGCUUCUUCAUGUGAAGUGGGAUCACCUUCCAUACGAACUAUUUAUGUGUUAUAUACUUUAUAAUCACUAGAAAUAGCUGACUUUUUGGGUCUUGUAGACCUUCUAAGGGCCUCAUUCCUAGGCUCGUUCUAUGGCUCACCUUCCGGCACAUCUUCUAAAAGUGGCUGCUGCACCUCCCCCACAUGCUCAAUAACGGGUUCAGUCGGCUCCUAAUGGACAGGUUCCGGAUCUUCUCCCAUAGUUGUCAUGGCUGGAGUUACAACAGGUGCUUGCACCGCAACCUCAGGGAUUGUUGGUGCAGGUACAGAAGGUAGGGAGAAAAUGGCUCCUGAAUCGAUCAUUGUAUUAGGUGCAUGCACCGUCUUCUCCUCAAGAUCAAUUUUUCGAGCUACCAUGCUACCCCUCAUCAUUUCGUCCUCUAAGAAGACUGCAUGUCUUGUUUCUACAAACUUUGUGUAUCUCUUUGGACAGUAGAAAUGAAAACCUUUUGAUCUAUCAGGAUAGCCAAUGAAGUGGAAACUAACUAUUUUGGGAUCUAACUUUGCAAUAUUUGGAUUAAACACUUUGGCCUCAGAUGGGACCCCCCACACCCUUAAGUGUUUUAGGGAGGGCACUCUUCUUGUCCACAACUCGUACAGUGUUUUAGGCACCGACUUGCUUGGUACUCUAUUGAGAAUGUGAAUGGCGGUUUUAAGCGCCUCCAUCCAUAAUCCCAAUGGCAAGGUGGAGUAACUCAUCAUGUUGCGCACCAUAUCCAUAAGUGUACGGUUAUGCCUUUCAGUUACUCCAUUUUGCUGAGGCUCGCCCGACAUUCAAUACUGGGCCACUAUGCUAGUCUCCUAUAAGAACUUUGCAAAAGGUCCAGGGACUUGGCCAUAUGGAGUGUGCCGACCGUAGUACUCCCCCCACGGUCAGAUCUUACUAUCUUUAUUCUUUUAUCAUGUUGUUUUCAACUUCAGCUUUGAAUAUCUUAAAUUUAUCCAAUGCUUCAGGUCUUUCUUUGAUUGGAUAAAUAUAAUCAUAUCGGGAGUAAUCAUCUAUGAAUGUUAUGAAUGAGUCAUAUCCAUCCACACUUUUCAUAGGAAAUGGUCCACAGUUGUCCGUGUGGAUGAUUUCUAGUGUUCCUGUGCUAUGGUUUGCACCCAUUUUGAUUUGUUUUGCAUACUUUCCUUUAAUGCAAUUUAUGCAUUGUUCUAAGUCUGAGAACUCUAAUGGAGGAAGAAUUUCAUUUUUAACUAGUCUUUCUAUUCUCCCCUUCGAAAUAUGUCCAAGAGACAGUGCCAUAACUUCGAUAAGUCAUGAGUUCUCUUUCUUUUCUUUUGUUCUUUAUCCUCCGCAGAAACAUCCUCAUUCACAUUACACACAUAAUACACUUUUUCACGUAGUGAUAAUAAAUAAAGCUCAUUGUGUAGGAAAGCAACACCAACAUGAGUAUUAUUAAACCAUAUGACACACUUGCCAUGUCCAAAGUGACAUUCAUAAUGAUCUUUAUGCAAGCAUGAAACACUAAUCAAGUUUUUGUGUAAUGAAGGAAUAUAUAAAACAUCUGUAAGAAGAAGCUUGAAUCCAUCUAGCUAACUCCAGGGGGAUGUCAGCGACAGCUUCAACUUCUGCUUGAACUCCAUUUGCAACUUCAAUGCAUCUUUCACUUCUUUGUGUAGUCCGCGUC